UACGAAGGGUGCAAACGUUGCUCGGAAUUAUUGGGCGUAAAGAGCUCGUAGGCGGUCUGUCACGUCGGCUGUGAAAACCCGAGGCUCAACCUCGGGCCUGCAGUCGAUACGGGCAGACUAGAGUUCGGUAGGGGAGACUGGAAUUCCUGGUGUAGCGGUGAAAUGCGCAGAUAUCAGGAGGAACACCGGUGGCGAAGGCGGGUCUCUGGGCCGAAACUGACGCUGAGGAGCGAAAGCGUGGGGAGCGAACAGG
rnacentral:rRNA from 1 species